UACGGAGGGGGCAAGCGUUGUUCGGAGUUACUGGGCGUAAAGCGCGCGUAGGCGGUGCGGUAAGUCAGGGGUUAAAGGCUGCAGCUCAACUGCAGUAAGGCCUUUGAUACUAUCGCGCUAGAGUACCAGAGAGGAUGGCGGAAUUCCCGGUGUAGCGGUGAAAUGCGUAGAUAUCAGGAGGAACACCGGUGGCGAAGGCGGCCUUCUGGACGGUUACUGACGCUGAGACGCGAAAGCGUGGGGAGCAAACAGG
rnacentral:rRNA from 1 species